rnacentral:lncRNA from 1 species
CCUCCCUCCCUCCCUCCCUCCCUCUCCCGGUCUCCUCCCUCCUCCCUCUCCCUCUCCCGGCCGGUCUCCUCCCUCUCCGGGCCAUUGUUUCCGGUGCUGUCUUUCUCUCUCUAUCUCAGGUACGUACUAUUUUUCUCUCUCUGUAAUUUUUUUAUAUGUAAAUUUAUAUGUAAAUUUGAUGUAGGUUUAUUGUUUUUUGUUAAGAUUUGGUUUUCCAAUUUGGGAGUGUGUGUACAAUUUUGAGUAGAUUUGAGCUUGGAAAAAUUGAAGCGGGUAGGAAUUGGAUGAUUAGAGAGUCAAGGAUUUAAAGUUGAGAAUAAUUUGGAGGAAAAUCAAAUCUGGUGUUUUAGGUGUUGGGAAUUGAAUGUUGUGAGCAGAUCGGUGCCUGGAAAUAAUUUGUCGGUAAAUUCCAGACUUUAGAAAAUUUCUGACGAAGAAUUUUUUGUUUAUUAAUUUAAUUUUUUGUUAAUGUUAUUUUAUUUUUAUUGUCUAAUUUAAUUUUUAUUUAUGUUUUAUGUAUUGUCUAAUUUCUCUAAUUUAUGUUUAGGAGAUAAAUUAUCGUUAUUUUUUAAAGAUAUGCUUUGUUGAUAAUGAACUUGUAGAAAAACAUAAAAUACAAAAUACAAAAUACAAAAUAGAAAAACUUAUAUCAAAUCCGGAUGAAUAUAGAAAAACUUAUAAACAUAAAAUACAAAAUACAAAAUAGAAAAACUUAUAUCAAAUCCGGAUGAAUAUAUAUAUAUAUAUAUUUUAUUGAAUUCAGUUUAUUGAAAAACUAAACUAAUAAACGGUUAAAUACAUGUGUGGUUUGAGGUUCCCGAGCACCUUAAGGACAGCUGGGCCGACGUUGUGCAUGGGGGAAGGUACGUUGGGAAGUUAAUGAAAAACAAAAUUGUAUGUGAUAUUAAUAAUAUUUCUAAUAUUUUUGUUGUGUCUGUAGGUACAAGGAGUGGAAGAACGAGUUGCGGACCCAUUGGACUACGCACGGGAACGCACGUUCUGGUACCCCUGUUGAGUUCCAGUACAGGGAGUACGAGUGGCGUUGGUUUCUGACAUCAGAAUUCAACAACCCUCGUAAACAGGUAUUUAAAAAAAUUAAUUAGUUAAUUUGUCAUUAAGUACGUCCGUUUUUAAAUAUUUUACUAAUAAUUUAUUUUUUUCUUUGAAGGCCGUUUCCCGAGCGAACUCUCAGAACCGGCAACGCAACACAAGGAACCAUCAUGGCGGUUCUAGACCGUUCGCUGUCUUCAUGGACGAGGCGGCCAGGGAACAUCCAGAGGUCAACCCGUACGUCUAUACGUACGAGAAGGCAUAUCCUGACUCCCAGGAGGAUAUUGUAAGUCAUUUUACGUUUUUAAAUUUAAAUUUUAAAUUUAUAUAUAUGUGAAAAUGUUAAUUAUUAUUUUUUCCUAUCCAAUUAGGCGAAGGUGAGGGAGGCUAGUGACGAGGUGAUGAGUGCUA